UACAGAGGUCUCAAGCGUUGUUCGGAAUCACUGGGCGUAAAGCGUGCGUAGGCUGUUUCGUAAGUCGCGUGUGAAAGGCGCGGGCUCAACCCGCGGACGGCACAUGAUACUGCGAGACUAGAGUAAUGGAGGGGGAACCGGAAUUCUCGGUGUAGCAGUGAAAUGCGUAGAUAUCGAGAGGAACACUCGUGGCGAAGGCGGGUUCCUGGACAUUAACUGACGCUGAGGCACGAAGGCCAGGGGAGCGAAAGGG
rnacentral:rRNA from 1 species